GACGAACGCUGGCGGCAGGCUUAACACAUGCAAGUCGAGCGCCCCGCAAGGGGAGCGGCAGACGGGUGAGUAACGCGUGGGAAUCUACCCAUCUCUACGGAAUAACGCAUGGAAACGUGUGCUAAUACCGUAUACGUCCUUCGGGAGAAAGAUUUAUCGGAGAUGGAUGAGCCCGCGUUGGAUUAGCUAGUUGGUGGGGUAAAGGCCUACCAAGGCGACGAUCCAUAGCUGGUCUGAGAGGAUGAUCAGCCACACUGGGACUGAGACACGGCCCAGACUCCUACGGGAGGCAGCAGUGGGGAAUAUUGGACAAUGGGCACAAGCCUGAUCCAGCCAUGCCGCGUGAGUGAUGAAGGCCCUAGGGUUGUAAAGCUCUUUCACCGGUGAAGAUAAUGACGGUAACCGGAGAAGAAGCCCCGGCUAACUUCGUGCCAGCCGCCGCCGUAAGAC
rnacentral:rRNA from 1 species